rnacentral:rRNA from 1 species
AGUGAACGCUGGCGGUAGGCCUAACACAUGCAAGUCGAACGGCAGCACAGUAAGAGCUUGCUCUUACGGGUGGCGAGUGGCGGACGGGUGAGGAAUACAUCGGAAUCUACUUUUUCGUGGGGGAUAACGUAGGGAAACUUACGCUAAUACCGCAUACGACCUACGGGUGAAAGCAGGGGAUCUUCGGACCUUGCGCGAUUGAAUGAGCCGAUGUCGGAUUAGCUAGUUGGCGGGGUAAAGGCCCACCAAGGCGACGAUCCGUAGCUGGUCUGAGAGGAUGAUCAGCCACACUGGAACUGAGACACGGUCCAGACUCCUACGGGAGGCAGCAGUGGGGAAUAUUGGACAAUGGGCGCAAGCCUGAUCCAGCCAUACCGCGUGGGUGAAGAAGGCCUUCGAGUUGUAAAGCACUUUUGUUGGGAAAGAAAAGCAGCAGGUUAAUACCCCGCUGUUCUGACGGUACCCAAAGAAUAAGCACCGGCUAACUUCGUG